rnacentral:rRNA from 1 species
CCUACGGGAGGCAGCAGUGAGGAAUAUUGGUCAAUGGGCGAAAGCCUGACGCAGCGACGCCGCGUGAGGGAUGAAGGUCUUCGGAAUGUAAACCUCUGUCAGCCGGGAAGAAAAUUCAGUGUGCUGACCAGCAGUGAAUUGACCGUACCUGCAAAGGACGCACCGGCCAACUCCGUGCCAGCAGCCGCGGUAAUACGGAGGGUGCGAGCGUUAAUCGGAAUUACUGGGCGUAAAGGGCUCGAAGGCGGUAGGGCAAGCCAAGGGUGAAAGCCCCGAGCUCAACCUCGGAACUGCCGUUGAAACUGGCAGACUAGAGUGUGUGAGAGGCAGGCGGAAUUCCUGGUGUAGCGGUGAAAUGCGUAGAUAUCAGGAGGAACACCAGUGGCGAAGGCGGCUUGCUGGCACAUAACUGACGCUGAGGAGCGAAAGCGUGGGGAUCAAACAGGAUUAGAUACCCUUGUAGUC